CUGGACCAGUGCAAGCAGUGCAGCCACUUCAGCUAUAAAGAACAGACUUUAUUGGCAUCAUAGGCCACGUUUCAACAAAAAAAGCGCUCAGUUAUCUAUUUUUUUUCCCUAAGGAAAAUGAAUUUAUCAAAUCUUUGAAAAAAAUAAGAAAGUGUUUGCAAAAAAAUGUGAAAUCGCCGAUUGGAAUUUAUUAUCAUGAACAAUUAGUACUGCUGGAGAAGCUUUUAAAAAAUCCCUGAUAAAAAAAGAGAUCUCGCGUGAAAGUCCCUGUUUUGAUCUACUUAGUAAAAUAUGGCGGCAGCAGCUAGUGGUUGGUUACUAAAUUUUUCUUCAACAUACAUAAGGCAUGUGACAUGUCUUAGUUUUUGUCCCAUUGGCUUUUUACAAGCACGAAAUUAUGCUGCUAGAAAAGGUACAAGAGAGAAAGCGAGGAAGAAGAAGAUCAAAGUGGUUGUUGAAAAAGUCGGUUUUAUACCACAUAACCAGAGAAACGCACAAAUUGCAGCUAAAAAGAACAAGUUGAAAGGAGAGAAAAUUAUAUUAAAUGAUAGUAAAAAACCAGAUCCGAUAGAUAAUGUCUGGAUUGGGAAAUUUCAUAAAUGGAAAAUUUAUCCAUUUGAAGAAGCAAUACAGAAUCAUCGUGAAACACAUCAUCCUACUAUGUACAAUUUGCCAAAUGCACCUAUAAAUGCAUUUAUAGAAUUGGAUAUGCAGGGUGUAAAAAAGACAAAAUUUGUCGAUGCUUUCUCGAGAAUAGCAUGUUUACCACAUUCAUUCGAUCAUGGUCAAAGCAGAAAAAUAUUAGCAUUUUGUAAAACACCUGAAGUACAGGAAAUAGCAAGAGAAGCUGGAGCUCAGUAUGCUGGUGGCAAAGAAUUAAUAAAACAAAUUCAAAGCGGGGGAUUUUCACUAAAAGAAUAUGAUAUUAUCGUGUCAGAGCCAAGCAUCUUACCUGAUCUGUUGCUUAUUAGAGGGCUGAUGAGAAAGAAGUUUCCUAGCACUAAAUUGGGUACUUUAAGUCCUAAUAUGAAUACACUUGUAUCAAAAUUUUUAACUGGAAUAAAAUAUACAGCAAACCCACAUGAUCUUCUAAAAUCUUAUGGCACUAUUGAUGUUACAUUUGGAACGCUCGAUAUGGAUACAAAGCAGUUGGAGGAGAAUUUUAUUGCCAUUAUUAAGGAUGUUAAUGCUGCAAAGCCACGUCGACCAGAACCUUUUAUCACAAGAAUUCGUAUUUCGUGUGCACCAGCGACAGAGAUGUUUAAAAUUGACUUUGAACAAUAUCUAUCUACAGAUAGUACAUUUAAAAAAGGAGAAGGAAAAGAAGAAGAAGAAGAAGACGAAAGCGAAAAUGAAAAACAGGAUGUUGUUAUUGCAUCUCAUUAAUUUUGUUUAUAGGGUGCAACGAACGACGACAAAGAAAGAGAGAGAGAGUAAGAGACAGCGAUUUCAAGUUUUCUUCUCACCGUCUACCGCUCCGAUUGCCUCCUUCGUAGACAUGCCCCUGCUUGACGACCAACAAUUGCGGCAUUAGGUGACAUAUAGGCGCACACGUGCACCAGUCAUGUCAUAGGUGGAGACGACGCGUAUACGACGGCCUAACGGGAUCCAACAUUGGGCGUAUACGCAUAAACACCGUAGGAUAUCUAAUCUGUUCCUUUACACGUCAUUCGCGUACACAAGUAUAAAGGCAAAGCGCAGAGAAUAGUCUUGAUAUUAAUUUAUAGAAAUAUGAGGGAAAUUCUUUUUAACGUUUUAAUGUUAAAAGUACUUGAUUUGAAGAUGAAGAAAAAGAAAAAUAAAGACGAAUAAAAAAAAAAGAAAAUAAAAA